UACAAAUAAGUGUUAUAGCACAUUGGCCUUUGAAUCCAAAAGAAUAUUUUUAUAAUUUGUAA
rnacentral:tRNA from 1 species